CUCUUUUCCGGGAACUAGGAUGCUCGCGGUGGUGUCCGGGAACGGCACCCCCAAACCUGAUUUUUGAAACCAGGCAAUCAGUCACUGGGCUUGCUCAUACUAAUUGCCACAGUGUCGCUGGUAUUUCACUGCCUCCAGCUGACGCGACUUUUU
rnacentral:snRNA from 1 species